CCACAAAUCACGCCAAUCCAUGGCAGCCCGCGUGCCCCGCUCCCCCGCAGCGCCUGGCUCCCCUUUCCUUGCGCGACGCGAGAUCGGCGAGAUUGCCCUCAACGCGCUCGCGUCGCGCCGCGGAUCCCCCACCCUCCUCCCCUCUGCACGCCGCCAUCAACUCGCACCGGCCCUCGCCCGUGAUCCAUCCUCUCCCCCGCGGCAAUGAUAUGGCGUCCCCCCUCAACCGACCAUUCCCGCAGCGGAUCCGCACCAACCCGUUCGCGCCGGCCUCUGGAAGAAGAAUCCACCGAAGGCGAAAACGACGACGGAGGUCCGGCUGACUCGUCUGGGUCUUUGCAAUAGCGGCAAGCGGGUUGGAGCUCCGCUUCGGGCAGGGGAGAACCACGUGGAGACCUGGAGUCACGCUGCCUAGACUCGCCGCUGGGUGGAUUCGUCGCGAUGGAGGUCGGAUUGUGAACACGCCGUCCAGUUAGGACGCUGUCGUCUUCAGAUCCAGGGGAUGGGGUUGCUCGGCAUGGCGGCCAAGGGCCCCUCGCCCACGCGUCGCCUAAUGCCACAGCCGCACUUGGCCGUCUCCUCGCUGGCGGCCUCCGUGGCUCUGAUCCACUGCUUCCUCAACACCCGGAGAUGGUUGACGUCGCCUUCGUCGUCUCCUCGCCAGUGGCCUCCACCAGCCCCGCAGUCCAAGACAAAGCCACGACAUGAGUCAACCCAAGUCCGGUCGCACCUACACCGAUGGCCGUACCCAACAAGUUGAGCUUUAAGAGGAACGUGGUGUCAUUGUCAUCUGAGCUCAAGGGUGUGAGGAGCAAGCUUGCUUCCUAGGAGCAGCUGUUUGUAAGGGAAUCUCAAACUAGAAAGCUUGCGGAGACAAAAACAAGGAGCAUGGAAGAGGAAGUAAUCAAGCUGCAGAAAUGCUUACAGGACAAGGAUGGGCAACUGUGUUCAUCCACAAGUAGCACGGAACAGUACCAUCAUGAGUUGGAUGAUCUUAGAACACAUCUGUCAUUUACUCAAGCUACAGGAGAAGCAGGUGUUGCAUCAGCUAAGUUAGCUCGGAUGUAGUGCAUGUCAUUGCUGAAAGAGCUGAAUGAGAAGGACAACUCACUCAAAGACCAUAGACUUCGAGUGAACAAUCUAGGUGAGCAGCUUGAUCUUCUCCAGAAGGAUGUACAAGCAAGGGAGGUCACACAAAUGCAACUUAAAGAUAUAGUUAUAAGGAUCGAGACCAACAUCAUGGAUGAAGUUGCCAAAGCUUUUGAAAUUGCGAUGUUGAGAGGGGAAAUCAGAAUAUUGUCUACUCACUGGACGAACAAAACCAAGAACCUUGAAUCACAGUUAAAAAAGCACCAGAGAACUGAUCAGGAGCUGAAGAAGAGGGUUCUGAAGCUUGAAUUUUGUCUCUGGUCCUGUCAUCCACUGGUAUGGUGCAUAAAAAAGUAGGAACCACAAUGAGAUUGUAAUGCUGCACAUGGCACAUCAAGGUGCGCAAGAUAUGUACCGUAGAAAUUAUCGUAAAGUGCACACAGCUGUAUGUAUAGAUGUUUAGAAGUGGUCGAAGUUAGGCUUGCUCAACCGGGGCAAUGAUUUACUUAGCCUGCUGAAAUGUACUAUAGGUAGCAUUCAAGUUUGUGACCAUCAUGCAAGUACAUGUGGGUUUGUUGAAAUUGAGUGGUCAUCGGAGAAGUAGCAAAA